rnacentral:rRNA from 1 species
ACUCAAAUGAAUUGACGGGGACCCGCACAAGCAGCGGAGUGUGUGGUUUAAUUCGAUGCAACGCGAAGCACCUUACCUGGGGUCAACCUCUUCCGAAGCCCGGGUUAUGCCGGGGGCCGCAAGGCGGGAGGGGAGGUGCUGCAUGGCUGUCGUCAGCUCGUGCCGUGAGGUGUUGGGUUAAGUCCCCUAACGAGCGCAACCCCCGGGGUCGGUUGAAACUCCGACGCGACUGCCCCGCACAACGGGGAGGCAGGUGGGGAUGAUGUCAAGUCAGCACGGCCCUUUUGCCCAGGGCGACACACACACUACAAUGGCCGGGACAACGGGUAGCCACGGGGCGACUCGGAGCCAAUCCCUUAAACCCGGUCUCAGUUCAGAUGGCAGGCUGCAACUCGCCUGCCUGAAGGCGGAGUUGCUAGUAACCGCCGGUCAGCAUACGGCGGUGAAUACGUUCCCGGGUCUUGUACACACCGCCCGU